GUUAAAGGUCCUGAAAGCUGUUAAAGGUCCUGAAAGCUGUUAACAUUAAAGGUCCUGAAAGCUGUUAACAUUAAAGGUCCUGAAAGCUGUUAACAUUAAAGGUCCUGAAAGAUGUUAAAGGUCCUGAAAGCUGUUAAAGGUCCUGAAAGCUGUUAACAUUAAAGGUCCUGAAAGCUGUUAACAUUAAAGGUCCUGAAAGCUGUUAACAUUAAAGGUCCUGAAAGCUGUUAACAUUAAAGGUCCUGAAAGCUGUUAACAUUAAAGGUCCUGAAAGCUGUUAACAUUAAAGGUCCUGAAAGGUUAACAUUAAAGGUCCUGAAAGCUGUUAAAGGUCCUGAAAGCUGUUAAAGGUCCUGAAAGCUGUUAAAGGUCCUGAAAGCUGUUAACAUUAAAGGUCCUGAAAGCUGUUAACAUUAAAGGUCCUGAAAGCUGUUAACAUUAAAGGUCCUGAAAGCUGUUAACAUUAAAGGUGCUGAAAGCUGUUAACAGUAAAGGUGCUGAAAGCUGUGUUUUCAUUAAAGGUCCUGAAAGCUGUUAACAGUAAAGGUGCUGAAAGCUGUUAACAGUAAAGGUGCUGAAAGCUGUUAACAGUAAAGGUGCUGAAAGCUGUGUUUUCAUUAAAGGUCCUGAAAGCUGUUAACAGUAAAGGUGCUGAAAGCUGUUAACAGUAAAGGUGCUGAAAGCUGUUAACAGUAAAGGUGCUGAAAGCUGUUAACAGUAAAGGUGCUGAAAGUGUGUGUGUGUGUCUC